rnacentral:piRNA from 1 species
UGGAAACCAGGGAAAUUNCCAUAGGGGAAG